GAAAGAGAUAAAGAGAAAUGGAAGCUUUCUGAGUUACAUUUUCCUUUUUGCUUUUCUCUCUGUACAAACAGUCAAUUUUUUCUUCAAUUCAAGGCCAAACAACAAGAAGUUGAAUUCAAAUUUGAAGGGUUGAGAUUGAGAUGGUUUGAUCAAAUUUUGACAAGACUUGGUUAUGUAAAGAAGUUUGAGCUUAUAAGGAUUGGACAAUGAACAAGAUUGGGUGGUGGUAAAAAUUUUCAUUAUAGAUCCAUGCGUCACACAAUAUUGGACCCAAAUUUCUAUUCAAAGUUCUAAAUAUCUUUUUUUUCGAAUAUAG